CUUUAAUACAGUUUAUACCUGUUAAAGUAAAUGUGAAUGCACAUUACAAAUCUGUAAUAGGUAUUUAAAGGUCCUAAUGUGUUCAUCUUGGAGCGAGCUGAAAUUUUUUUUUAUCGCAGCUGUAAUUUUUUAAGUGCCCUAAGGUGUAGAUCAUGGCAAAUUUACCAAAUGAAGGAAAGAAGGCGCAAGGGCCGCGCACACAGUCCAAACCCAGGCCACCGAGCAGCCGCAGCGACCCAUUAGUCCGCUCCAAUGACGACUCAACGCCACGACCUUGAGCACUAAGGACCCGGCCGUGACUGUGACCAGUCUCCGGUCCCACUAGAGCCACCGUUCACCUGUGUUCCUGUAGUCGGAGCUUGCUUACAGCAGUUUCAGCCUGGGAACAACAUGAAUCCCCUAGUUGCCUGGCUUGUUUUAUAUUCAGCUGCAAGAAGGCUCUUCUUGAUGUUGGCCAUGUGCCUGAGAUAUGCAUGACUGACGAAAGACAUUAUAUUGUGUUUCAUUCCACUUUGUGGAGCAUCCCAUUUGCUACGGAUGAUUAAAGUAUUGUUCAACUAUGUGCUUAUAUGUGCUGUUACAUUCUGUGUAUGAGUGCAUUUGGGCUCAUUGUAAUCGGGAGGUAGUAUUAGUGCAAGUUGCGAUGUGCUAGCAAUAUCUGUCAAUUACUGGUGUGGUCAACAUUGCUAUGAGCUUGUUUACAGCAGUUUCACUCUGUGAAUGACAUAAAUGCCCUGGCUGUCUAGCUUGUUUCAUGUUUUGCUGGAAAAAGGUCCUCUUUGCGGUGUGCCUUACCUUGGAUACACAUGUUAGAUGGAGGACAUUCUGUAGCGUUUUCUUUUGUUUCCUCAUUAUGUAGCACCCCGUUCACUGAAAAUGAUUAAAGUAUUUAGUUGUUGAGUUGCAUA